UACGGAGGGUGCAAGCGUUAAUCGGAAUUACUGGGCGUAAAGCGCACGCAGGUGGCUGAGUCAGUCGAUUGUGAAAGCCCUGGGCUUAACCUGGGAAUUGCAGUCGAUACUACUCAGCUAGAGUAUGGGAGAGGGUAGUGGAAUUCCCGGUGUAGCGGUGAAAUGCGUAGAUAUCGGGAGGAACAUCGGUGGCGAAGGCGGCCUGCUGGGCUCUUGCUGACACUGAGGCGCGACAGCGUGGGGAGCAAACAGG
rnacentral:rRNA from 1 species